rnacentral:rRNA from 1 species
AUUGAACGCUGGCGGCAGGCUUAACACAUGCAAGUCGAACGAGCGGCGGACGGGUGAGUAAUGUCUGGGAAACUGCCUGAUGGAGGGGGAUAACUACUGGAAACGGUAGCUAAUACCGCAUACCAUCAGAUGUGCCCAGAUGGGAUUAGCUAGUAGGUGGGGUAAUGGCUAACCUAGGCGACGAUCCCUAGCUGGUCUGUGAGGAUGACCAGCCACACUGAAACUGAGACACGGUCCAGACACCUACGGGAGGCAGCAGUGGGGAAUAUUGCACAAGGGGCGCAAGCCUGAUGCAGCCAUGCCGCGUGUGUGAAGAAGGCCGUCGGGUUGUAAAGCACUGUCAGCGAGGAAGCGUUAAUCGCAGAAGAAGCACCGGCUAACUACGUGCCAGCAGCCGCGGUAAUUC